rnacentral:rRNA from 1 species
GGCAGCAGUGGGGAAUAUUGGACAAUGGGCGCAAGCCUGAUCCAGCCAUACCGCGUGGGUGAAGAAGGCCUUCGGGUUGUAAAGCCCUUUUGUUGGGAAAGAAAUCCAGCUGGCUAAUACCCGGUUGGGAUGACGGUACCCAAAGAAUAAGCACCGGCUAACUUCGUGCCAGCAGCCGCGGUAAUACGAAGGGUGCAAGCGUUACUCGGAAUUACUGGGCGUAAAGCGUGCGUAGGUGGUCGUUUAAGUCCGUUGUGAAAGCCCUGGGCUCAACCUGGGAACUGCAGUGGAUACUGGACGACUAGAGUGUGGUAGAGGGUAGCGGAAUUCCUGGUGUAGCAGUGAAAUGCGUAGAGAUCAGGAGGAACAUCCAUGGCGAAGGCAGCUACCUGGACCAACACUGACACUGAGGCACGAAAGCGUGGGGAGCAAACAGGAUUAGAUACCCUGGUAGUCCACGCCCUAAACGAUGCGAACUGGAUGUUGGGUGCAAUUUGGCACGCAGUAUCGAAGCUAACGCGUUAAGUUCGCCGCCUGGGGAGUACGGUCGCAAGACUGAAACUCAAAGGAAUUGACGGG